rnacentral:misc_RNA from 1 species
GUAGGUGAACCUGCGGAAGGAUCAUUACUAAAGCAUCUACAAAAUGCUAAACCGUGUGAAUUGUUGUCGUCGCGUCGCGUGUCGCGCAGUGCAUGCGCACUGUGUUGAGUGUGUGGUGCGUGCGCGCGUACGCGACAACUACCAUAAACGUGUAUGCAUGUCAGUUGGUGUAUUUAUUAUUAUCGAAAUUUUUGACAACUUUUAACAAUGGAUCUCUUGGCUCUU